rnacentral:tRNA from 1 species
CUCGUAGCUCAGUUUGGCAGAGCAAUUGGCUCUUAACCAAGAGGUUCUGGGUUCGAUUCCCAGGGGGCGGA